rnacentral:lncRNA from 1 species
GGACAAUACGACCAAUAUAUCUGAUGUGUAAGGCAUCUACAAUAUCUGAUCAUCACGCUGCUGAUCUAACUGAUCCUUAUAAUAUAUAAUUGUGUGCGACACUGGAUUGUGUGUAAGGCAUACAUACCAAUCAAUCGAGUCCUCCACCUGUCCAAAAUAAAGCCACUAUGUUAUAUGAAAAUAUACAGUUAUUUAUCAUAUAAAAUCAGUGCUACUGGUUACAUACCUGCAUCCUAGUGGAUCAGUCUGAUAAUGCUGUACACUACCAAAUGGACCUUCAAAACCAACAUCAUCCACAUCUAACGGGACAUAUCCUGUUACAUCACCUCUCGCUACCGACUAAUGGGCUCC